UUUUUAAUUGAGAUCUUGUAUGAAUGAUUGGACAAGAGAAAUACUGUCUUUGUAUUAAAACUUGAAUUUAACUUUUAAGUGAAAAGGCUUAAAUACACUAAAGGGACGAUAAGACCCUAUAAAACUUUACAUUUAUGUUAAAUUUUAUGGAAUUUGAAGAUUAUAAUUAUUAGAUUUAAUUUUUUGUUAUGUUGGGGAGACAAAAGCUAUAAUUAUAUAUAAUAACUGCUUUUAAGGGAAACAAAAAUAAGUGGAAAGAUUAGAGAUCCUUUAUUAAGAUUAUAAGAUUAAGUUACUUUAGGGAUAACAGCGUUAUUUUUUUUGAGAGUUCAUAUUGAAAAAAAAGAUUGCGACCUCGAUGUUGAAUUAAAAUAUCUUUAUAAUGCAGGUGUUAUAAAAGAAGGUCUGUUCGACCUUUAAUUUU
rnacentral:rRNA from 1 species